GCCGAAGUGGUGGAACUGGCAGACACGUACGACUCAAAAUCGUAUGGGCUUGGCCCAUGAGGGUUCGAUUCCCUCCUUCGGCACCA
rnacentral:tRNA from 1 species